UACGGAGGGGGCAAGCGUUGUUCGGAAUUACUGGGCGUAAAGGGCGCGUAGGCGGCCUCUUAAGUCGAACGUGAAAUCCCCGGGCUCAACCCGGGAACUGCGUCCGAUACUGGGGGGCUUGAAUCCGGGAGAGGGAUGUGGAAUUCCAGGUGUAGCGGUGAAAUGCGUAGAUAUCUGGAGGAACACCGGUGGCGAAGGCGGCAUCCUGGACCAACACUGACGCUGAGUGAGCGAAAGCCAGGGGAGCAAACGGG
rnacentral:rRNA from 1 species